rnacentral:rRNA from 1 species
UACGUAGGGUGCAAGCGUUGUCCGGAAUUAUUGGGCGUAAAGAGCUCGUAGGCGGUCUGUCACGUCGGCUGUGAAAUCCCGAGGCUCAACCUCGGGUCUGCAGUCGAUACGGGCAAACUAGAGUAUUGCAGGGGAGACUGGAAUUCCUGGUGUAGCGGUGAAAUGCGCAGAUAUCAGGAGGAACACCGGUGGCGAAGGCGGGUCUCUGGGUAAUAACUGACGCUGAGGAGCGAAAGCGUGGGGAGCGAACAGG